rnacentral:rRNA from 1 species
UACGUAGGGCGCAAGCGUUGUCCGGAAUUAUUGGGCGUAAAGAGCUCGUAGGCGGUCUGUUACGUCCGCUGUGAAAACCCAGGGCUUAACCCUGGGCUUGCAGUGGAUACGGGUAGACUAGAGGCAGGUAGGGGAGAAUGGAAUUCCCGGUGUAGCGGUGAAAUGCGCAGAUAUCGGGAGGAACACCCGUGGCGAAGGCGGCUCUCUGGGACGGUACUGACGCUGAGACGCGAAAGCGUGGGGAGCGAACAGG